UACAGAGGGUGCGAGCGUUAUUCGGAAUUACUGGGCGUAAAGCGCGCGUAGGCGGUCUUGCAAGUCGGGUGUGAAAUCCCCAGGCUUAACCUGGGAACUGCAUUCGAGACUGCAUUACUAGAGUAUGGGAGAGGGAAGUGGAAUUUCCGGUGUAGCGGUGAAAUGCGUAGAUAUCGGAAGGAACAUCAGUGGCGAAAGCGACUUCCUGGACCAAUACUGACGCUCAUGUGCGAAAGCGUGGGGAGCAAACAGG
rnacentral:rRNA from 1 species